CAGCAGCCGCGGGAAUACGAAGGGUGCAAGCGUUAAUCGGAAUUACUGGGCGUAAAGCGUGCGUAGGCGGUUUGUUAAGACAGAUGUGAAAUCCCCGGGCUCAACCUGGGAACUGCAUUUGUGACUGGCAGGCUAGAGUAUGGCAGAGGGGGGUGGAAUUCCGCGUGUAGCAGUGAAAUGCGUAGAUAUGCGGAGGAACACCGAUGGCGAAGGCAGCCCCCUGGGCCAAUACUGACGCUCAUGCACGAAAGCGUGGGGAGCAAACAGGAUUAGAUACCCGUGUAGUCCCUGUCUCUUAUAC
rnacentral:rRNA from 1 species